rnacentral:rRNA from 1 species
AGCCUGAUGCAGCGACGCCGCGUGAGGGAUGACGGCCUUCGGGUUGUAAACCUCUUUCAGUAGGGAAGAAGCGCAAGUGACGGUACCUGCAGAAGAAGCGCCGGCUAACUACGUGCCAGCAGCCGCGGUAAUACGUAGGGCGCAAGCGUUGUCCGGAAUUAUUGGGCGUAAAGAGCUCGUAGGCGGUUUGUCGCGUCCGCUGUGAAAGCCCGGGGCUCAACCCCGGGUCGGCAGUGGGUACGGGCAGACUAGAGUGCAGUAGGGGAGACUGGAAUUCCUGGUGUAGCGGUGAAAUGCGCAGAUAUCAGGAGGAACACCGAUGGCGAAGGCAGGUCUCUGGGCUGUUACUGACGCUGAGGAGCGAAAGCAUGGGGAGCGAACAGGAUUAGAUACCCUGGUAGUCCAUGCCGUAAACGUUGGGCACUAGGUGUGGGGGACAUUCCACGUUCUCCGCGCCGUAGCUAACGCAUUAAGUGCCCCGCCUGGGGAGUACGGCCGCAA